GAUUCUCCUGCUCCAGGCUCUCAAGUAGCUGAGAUUACAGACUAACGAUCUUCUGUUGGUCCCUUCUGGUAGGGCCGAGGAGACCCCAGCAUCACGAAUUAAUUUGGGAUUACAGCCAAGCAAGUUUAAUGUUUCGAAAUAUCAUACACAAUGCAGCUGAGCGCCAAUUUUAUUCCCUGGGUUAGUACUAAUCAGCAAAAUGUACGUAAGGGCCUCAAGAACAGACUGCCCUGAACGUUCCUGUGUGUUGCUCCAGGUACCACCUACUCAUCCUCCAAUAUCCAGCUGGCACCUCCUCUGGGAAGACUUCCUGGAUAUUUCAGGUUGAUUUAGCAGCAUGCUAUGUGUAUCACACUGAAAUGGCCUACAUCCAGAAGCUGACACAUGGUAAAGAAUUAAAAGUUUCUUGAAAGAA